GAUGAACGCUGGCGGCGUGCCUAAUACAUGCAAGUCGAGCGAAUGGAUUAAGAGCUUGCUCUUAUGAAGUUAGCGGCGGACGGGUGAGUAACACGUGGGUAACCUGCCCAUAAGACUGGGAUAACUCCGGGAAACCGGGGCUAAUACCGGAUAACAUUUUGAACCGCAUGGUUAGAAAUUGAAAGGCGGCUUAGGAUGUCACUUAUGGGUGGACCUGCGUCGCAUUAGCUCGUUGGUGAGGUAACGGCUCACCAAGGCAACGAUGCGUAGCCGACCUGAGCGGGUGAUCGGCCACACUGGGACUGAGAAACGGCCCAGACUCCUACGGGAGGCAGCAGUAGGGAAUCUUCCGCAAUGGACGAAAGUCUGACGGAGCAACGCCGCGUGAGUGAUGAAGGCUUUCGGGUCGUAAAACUCUGUUGUUAGGGAAGAACAAGUGCUAGUUGAAUAAGCUGGCACCUUGACGGUACCUAACCAGAAAGCCACGGCUAACUACGUGCCAGCAGCCGCAGUAA
rnacentral:rRNA from 1 species